CCUACGGGUGGCAGCAGUGGGGAAUAUUGCACAAUGGGGGAAACCCUGAUGCAGCAACGCCGCGUGGGUGAAGGAGCGUUUCGGCGCGUAAAGCCCUGUCAGCGGGGAAGAAGAAAGACGGUACCUGUCGAAUAAGCCACGGCUAACUACGUGCCAGCAGCCGCGGUAAUACGUAGGUGGCAAGCGUUGUCCGGAUUUACUGGGUGUAAAGGGCGUGUAGCCGGGCUGACAAGUCAGAUGUGAAAUCCGGGGGCUCAACCCCCGAACUGCAUUUGAAACUGUUGGUCUUGAGUAUCGGAGAGGCAGGCGGAAUUCCUAGUGUAGCGGUGAAAUGCGUAGAUAUUAGGAGGAACACCAGUGGCGAAGGCGGCCUGCUGGACGACAACUGACGGUGAGGCGCGAAAGCGUGGGGAGCAAACAGGAUUAGAUACCCCGGUAGUC
rnacentral:rRNA from 1 species